GUAUUUUAGUAAAGACACGGUUUCACCAUGUUGGCCAGGAUGGUCUCCAUCUCCUGACCUCAUGAUCCGCCUGCCUUGGCCUCCCAAAGUGCUGGGAUUACAGGUGUGAGACGCUACGCCCAGCCAAGUUUCUUCAUUUUCUUUUUGUUG